rnacentral:rRNA from 1 species
CCCCAGUAGCGGCGAGCGAACGGGGAGCAGCCCAGAGUCUGAAUCAGCUUGUGUGUUAGUGGAACGGUCUGGAAAGUCCGACGGUACAGGGUGAUAGUCCCGUACACCAAAAUGCACAGGUUGUGAACUCGAAGAGUAGGGCGGGACACGUGGUAUCCUGUCUGAAUAUGGGGGGGACCAUCCUCCAAGGCUAAAUACUCCUGACUGACCGAUAGUGAACCAGUACCGUGAGGGAAAGGCGAAAAGAACCCCGGCGAGGGGAGUGAAAA